AUUAGCGUGUGAGUGAUGACCUCCAGUGUGGGCAGUUUAAGUUAUAGCGCACCCCCUCCUCUCUCUCAGAUGGAGCUAAUUGUCUGGUGGCCAUUUUUGAGGAAGUGUUUCCAGGUAUGAGGGUUUUUUUUUGCCCUCUGGAUGGCCAUGUUCUUUUUUCCCUCUGUAUUUAUCUUUUUCUGCAUCCCUUCUCCUGGAUAAACUCCAAUCGGCCUAAUGAUGAAAGAAUAAGAUUAUCAACAAGAGAGAAAGAGAUCUGGUCCAAAGCGUUUUUUUUUUUUUUUCAGUCACAGAACUCACACACAGAUUCCAUUUUGUCAGCUUUCAGCUGGGCAUAAUAUAGCGAUAAAAGACUCUGCCCUGCAGCCACACUGAAUCACACAGAGCAAAGCGAGGCAGAGAGAUCAAGAAAGAGUCGAGAAAGCGAGAGAAAAGGAAAGAGAAGUCUCUUUGUGCUGUGUGUGCUCAUAUUGUAUGAAAAAAGAUGAAUCACUUCUAUUUAGGGAUCAGUUUCCUGAAACUGGACGGGUGAGACGAUUCCACGGGAGAUAGAUUGUCGGGACUUGCCUGUGUUUUUCUGAAGGGCUGGAGCUAAACGUCUGCAGUCGUGGUAAGGUGCUCCCUAAAGGACCGGCUCCUCAGACAGGAAGUAUCAACCUGGAGCAGAAAGAACAAAAAGGAAAAAAACCCUCCCCUCUCGUCUUUUCUCCUUGCACACCAUCCUCACAGCUGCGCACAGUUUGCAGUCUAUCCGAAGGGGGUGCGUUAUCAUUUCAUCUAAAUUCCUCCCCCUAGGCAAGUCAAUAAAAAUAUGUAGCGUCAAGACGUUUUUGAUUAGCUGGUCCUCAGGAUGGAUGAAGAUGUUUGGGGAGAGCUCAGGCUUUGAGCUACUAUGCACAAAUUCCGGCCUUCUUUGGCAGUAGCGCUGUGUUAUUGUGGUAAUGAUCAGGCCGAAUGUAUCAUGUAGGAAACGAUCAACCCCACCAGUGCGCUCUCCAUUAUCUCAGACUUCGUCUCUCCGAGCUGUCAUUAGGGCUGAACUCCCCCCAACGUGUCCUUGGCCACUGCGGCGAUGGAGCGCCUCUACUGUAGAUGGAUGAGUCGGAUUUUGAUUGACGUGCGGAUGCUGUCAGUCACAGCCUGGCUCAAUGUGUAGCAAACAGUGGUAAACUGUUCCAGAGAUCUAACUCUGCCCAGAUGGAAAUGUUUUAAAGAACUAAAAAGAGGAACUAACUGCCCAGCCACAGAUUACUCGGAGUGCGUCUGCUGUUCGUUUGUGGUGGUGGACAAGCAGUGAUGUCACACAGCUGAGGACAUUCCCACUCAAUAUGGAGUCUGGAGAGCGGCUGGCCUCGCCUUCCACCACCCCCGGCCUCCGUCCACCACCGCCACCUCUGCAUCAACAUCCUCCUCCUCUUCCUCUUCCUCAUCCACAGCAGCCUCCAAUGCCAAGAGCAGCCUGAACCACGGAACCACGGCCUUGCUUGGCACAUGCGGUAAGAACUUGUGCUCACACACACACACACACACACACACACUCUUUCAUGCCCUGACGCAAGGGUUGCUUAUUGUGCAGUGUGAAAAGUGCUCAAGUCAAAACUCACACACAGUCACACACCAGCACAUUUCC